GCCUGGGUGGCUCAGUUGGUUGGGCGACUGGCUUCGGCUCAGUUAACGAUCUCGCAGUCUGUGAGUUCGAGCCCCGCAUCGGGCU
rnacentral:tRNA from 1 species